GAUGAACGCUGGCGGCGUGCCUAAUACAUGCAAGUCGAGCGAACGGACGAGAAGCUUGCUCCUCUGAUGUUAGCGGCGGACGGGUGAGUAACACGUGGAUAACCUACCUAUAAGACUGGGAUAACUUCGGGAAACCGGAGCUAAUACCGGAUCAUAUUUUGUACCGCAUGGUUCAAAAGUGAAUGACGGUCUUGCUGUCACUAAUAGAUGGAUCCGGGUUGCAUUAGCUAGUUGGUAAGGUAACGGCUUACCAAGGCAACGAUGCAUAGCCGACCUGAGAGGGUGAUCGGCCACACUGGAACUGAGACACGGUCCAGACUCCUACGGGAGGCAGCAGUAGGGAAUAUUGCGCAAUGGGCGAAAGCCUGACGGAGCAACGCCGCGUGAGUGAUGAAGGUCUUCGGAUCGUAAAGCUCUGUUAUUAGGGAAGAACAUAUGUGUAUGAAACUGUGCCUAUCUUGACGGUACCUAAACAGAAAGCACCGGCUAACUACGUG
rnacentral:rRNA from 1 species